GAUGAACGCUAGCGGCAGGCCUAACACAUGCAAGUCGAGGGGUAACAGAGAAGCUUGCUUCUGCUGACGACCGGCGCACGGGUGCGUAACGCGUAUGCAACCUACCUCAUACAGGAGAAUAGCCCUUGGAAACGAGGAUUAAUACUCCAUAGUAUCAUUCUUUCGCAUGUUAGAAUGAUUAAAGAAUUUCGGUAUGAGAUGGGCAUGCGUCCCAUUAGCUUGUUGGUGAGGUAACGGCUCACCAAGGCAACGAUGGGUAGGGGGCCUGAGAGGGUGGUCCCCCACACUGGUACUGAGACACGGACCAGACUCCUACGGGAGGCAGCAGUGAGGAAUAUUGGACAAUGGACGAAAGUCUGAUCCAGCUAUGCCGCGUGCAGGAUGACGGCCCUACGGGUUGUAAACUGCUUUUAUACAGGAAGAAACACCCCGACGUGUCGGGGCUUGACGGUACUGUAAGAAUAAGGAUCGGCUAACUCCGUGCCAGCCGCCGCCGUAACAC
rnacentral:rRNA from 1 species